AUGAACGCUGGCGGCGUGCCUAAUCCAUGCAAGUCGCGCGAACGGACGAGAAGCUUGCUUUUCUGAUGUUAGCGGCGGACGGGUGAGUAACACGUGGAUAACCUACCUAUAAGACUGGGAUAACUUCGGGAAACCGGAGCUAAUACCGGAUAAUAUUUUGAACCGCAUGGUUCAAAAGUGAAAGACGGUCUUGCUGUCACUUAUAGAUGGAUCCGCGCUGCAUUAGCUAGUUGGUAAGGUAACGGCUUACCAAGGCAACGAUGCAUAGCCGACCUGAGAGGGUGAUCGGCCACACUGGAACUGAGACACGGUCCAGACUCCUACGGGAGGCAGCAGUAGGGAAUCUUCCGCAAUGGGCGAAAGCCUGACGGAGCAACGCCGCGUGAGUGAUGAAGGUCUUCGGAUCGUAAAACUCUGUUAUUAGGGAAGAACAUAUGUGUAAGUAACUGUGCACAUCUUGACGGUACCUAAUCAGAAAGCCACGGCUAACUACGUG
rnacentral:rRNA from 1 species